rnacentral:lncRNA from 1 species
UGGGGAUCACGGUGAAGGUGCUAGACAGGGCAAGGUGAAAAAUCUUAAUUGAUAAAAACCUAAUUUUCUGUGAAAGUUUCAGAGUAGAAAUUCUCUUUAAGAAGGGCAAAUUUCUGUGAAACAGAUUCCCUUUUCAUAGAUGAAAAUGUUUUCAUUUUCUGGCAGGAAGGGGAACUGCCUCCAUUUGAACGUGUGACCGUGCUCCUAGGAACCAGUCAGAGAGCUCGUGUGUCAUUUUUAUCCGUGCUCCCAGGAUGCCCCACACCGAGAGAUCCUGAGAGACUCCUGCCCCUGCUCUGCAAGCAUUCGACUGGUUGCCUUCUUCAGCUGAACUUCACUGAUGUUGAUGAAUUCCUGGUGCUGGCAGUUGUCCUGGUGAGAUGCUCAGUUCCUCACCCUCUGCGGAUAAACCAUUCCCAGGGACGAUCCAUUCUUGUGAGGCUUUACCUGGUCCAUGCUUCUACUCAGAGAAUAAACACAGUAAUAACAGAAACAGUCUCUGGCAUGUCACCACUGCGACAUGCCCACCCUGAUGGUCAGUGGCAAUCAGCACUGGGUCUCCUGCUUAACAGCUAG